GCCAUACCUUUAAGUUAUAAUAAAAUCUAGACUGAUGGAGCCUCCAGAACAAAUCUAAGUGUAGGACUCUCACACAAUUCCAUAAUAACUUUCCAGAUUUACUUUUAUAAAAUUGGAUCUUUUUUUGUUUUCCCCUUGUG